UCGGGAAUUUUGGGCAAUGGGCGAAAGCCUGACCCAGCAACGCCGCGUGAAGGAUGAAGUAUUUCGGUAUGUAAACUUCGAAAGAAUAGGAAGAAUAAAUGACGGUACUAUUUAUAAGGUCCGGCUAACUACGUGCCAGCAGCCGCGGUAAUACGUAGGGACCAAGCGUUGUUCGGAUUUACUGGGCGUAAAGGGCGCGUAGGCGGCAAUUCAAGUCAUCUGCGAAAUCUCCGGGCUUAACUCGGAACGGUCAGAUGAUACUGCUUUGCUAGAGUGCAGAAGGGGCAAUCGGAAUUCUUGGUGUAGCGGUGAAAUGCGUAGAUAUCAAGAGGGACACCUGAGGUGAAGACGGGUUGCUGGGCUGACACUGACGCUGAGGCGCGAAAGCCAGGGGAGCAAACGGGAUUAGAUACCCUUGUAGUCCCUGAGCGGGCUGGCAAGGCGCAU
rnacentral:rRNA from 1 species